rnacentral:rRNA from 1 species
GACGAACCGAGCGAACGUUAUUCGGAAUCACUGGGCUUAAAGGGCGCGUAGGCGGGCCGUCAAGUCAGGGGUGAAAUCCCACGGCUCAACCGUGGAAGUGCCUUUGAUACUGCGGGCCUUGAGGGAGGUAGGGGCGUGCGGAACUUCCGGUGGAGCGGUGAAAUGCGCAGAUAUCAGGAGGAACACCGGUGGCGAAGGCGGCUCACUGGACCGGAACUGACGCUGAGGCGCGAAAGCGUGGGGAGCAAACAGG